rnacentral:rRNA from 1 species
CAACUUUUGACAACGGAUCUCUUGGCUCUCGCAACGAUGAAGAACGCAGCGAAAUGCGAUAAGUAAUGUGAAUUGCAGAAUUCAGUGAAUCAUCGAAUCUUUGAACGCACAUUGCGCUCCUUGGUAUUCCGGGGAGCACGCCUGUUUGAGAAUCAUUAAAAU